GAUGAACGCUGGCGGCGUGCCUAAUACAUGCCAGUCGAGCGAACGGACGAGAAGCUUGCUUCUCUGAUGUUAGCGGCGGACGGGUGAGUAACACGUGGAUAACCUACCUAUAAGACUGGGAUAACUUCGGGAAACCGGAGCUAAUACCGGAUAAUAUUUUGAACCGCAUGGUUCAAAAGUGAAAGACGGUCUUGCUGUCACUUAUAGCUGGAUCCGCGCUGCAUUAGCUAGUUGGUAAGGUAACGGCUUACCAAGGCAACGAUGCAUAGCCGACCUGAGAGGGUGAUCGGCCACACUGGAACUGAGCCACGGUCCAGACUACUACGGGAGGCAGCAGUAGGGAAUCUUCCGCAAUGGGCGAAAGCCUGACGGAGCAACGCCGAGUGAGUGAUGAAGGUCUUCGGAUCGUAAAACUCUGUUAUUAGGGAAGAACAUAUGUGUAAGUAACUGUGCACAUCUUGACGGUACCUAAUCAGAAAGCCACGGCUAACUACGUG
rnacentral:rRNA from 1 species